rnacentral:rRNA from 1 species
CCUUACUGCUAUCGGGGUGGGACUAAGACAUGCGAGUCGAGCGUCUCUAGCUAUGUUGAGACGCGGCAGACGGCUCAGUAACACGUGGCUAACCUACCCUCAGGACGAGGACAAACCCGGGAAACUGGGGCUAAUACUCGAUAGGUGAGUAUGUCUGGAAUGAUUUCUCACUCAAAGGGCUUUAGAAACAUGCUUCUAAAGUCGCCUGGGGAUGGGGCCGCGUCCGAUCAGGUUGUUGGUGAGGUAAUGGCUCACCAAGCCUAUAACCGGUACGGGCCGUGAGAGCGGUAGCCCGGAGAUGGGUACUGAGACAAGGACCCAGGCCCCACGGGGCGCAGCAGUCGCGAAAACUCCGCAAUGCACGAAAGUGUGACGGGGCUACCCCGAGUGCCAUCCGCUGAGGAUGGCUUUUCCUUGGUAUAACUAGCCGAGGGAAUAAGGAGAGGGCAAGACUGGUGUCAGCCGCCGCGGUAAUACCAGCUCUCCGAGUGGUAGGGAUGAUUAUUGGGCUUAAAGCGUCCGUAGCCGGCUUAGCAAGUCUCCUGUUAAAUUCAGCGACCUAAUCGUUGAGCCGCGGGAGAUACUACUAGGCUAGGAGGCGGGAGAGGUCGACGGUACUUCUGGGGUAGGGGUGAAAUCCUAUAAUCCCGGGAGGACCACCAGUGGCGAAGGCUGUCGACUAGAACGCGCUCGACGGUGAGGGACGAAAGCUGGGGGAGCGAACCGGAUUAGAUACCCGGGUAGUCCCAGCCGUAAACGAUGCGGGCUAGGUGUUGGGGUGGCUACGUGCCACUUCAGUGCCGCAGGGAAGCCAUUAAGCCCGCCGCCUGGGGAGUACGGCCGCAAGGCUGAAACUUAAAGGAAUUGGCGGGGGAGCACCACAAGGCGUGAAGCUUGCGGUUCAAUUGGAGUCAACGCCGG